ACGGGUGAGUAAUGCCUAGGAAUCUGCCUGAUAGUGGGGGAUAACGUCCGGAAACGGACGCUAAUACCGCAUACGUCCUACGGGAGAAAGUGGGGGCUCUUCGGACCUCACGCUAUCAGAUGAGCCUAGGUCGGAUUAGCUAGUUGGUGGGGUAAAGGCUCACCAAGGCGACGAUCCGUAACUGGUCUGAGAGGAUGAUCAGUCACACUGGAACUGAGACACGGUCCAGACUCCUACGGGAGGCAGCAGUGGGGAAUAUUGGACAAUGGGCGAAAGCCUGAUCCAGCCAUGCCGCGUGUGUGAAGAAGGUCUUCGGAUUGUAAAGCACUUUAAGUUGGGAGGAAGGGUCGUUACCUUAUACGUGGCGAUUUUGACGUUACCGACAGAAUAAGCACCGGCUAACUCUGUGCCAGCAGCCGCGGUAAUACAGAGGGUGCAAGCGUUAAUCGGAAUUACUGGGCGUAAAGCGCGCGUAGGUGGUUUGUUAAGUUGGAUGUGAAAUCCCCGGGCUCAACCUGGGAACUGCAUCCAAAACUGGCAAGCUAGAGUAGGGCAGAGGGUGGUGGAAUUUCCUGUGUAGCGGUG
rnacentral:rRNA from 2 species